rnacentral:rRNA from 1 species
UACGUAGGGACCAAGCGUUGUUCGGAUUUACUGGGCGUAAAGGGCGCGUAGGCGGCAAUUCAAGUCAUCUGUGAAAUCUCCGGGCUUAACCCGGAACGGUCAGAUGAUACUGCUUUGCUAGAGUGCGGAAGGGGCAAUCGGAAUUCUUGGUGUAGCGGUGAAAUGCGUAGAUAUCAAGAGGAACACCUGAAGUGAAGACGGGUUGCUGGGCCGACACUGACGCUGACAGCGCGAAAGCCAGGGGAGCAAACAGG